UACGGAGGGGGCUAGCGUUGUUCGGAAUUACUGGGCGUAAAGCGCACGUAGGCGGCUUUGUAAGUUAGAGGUGAAAGCCCGGGGCUCAACCCCGGAAUUGCCUUUAAGACUGCAUCGCUCGAACGUCGGAGAGGUGAGUGGAAUUCCGAGUGUAGAGGUGAAAUUCGUAGAUAUUCGGAAGAACACCAGUGGCGAAGGCGGCUCACUGGACUGGUAUUGACGCUGAGGUGCGAAAGCGUGGGGAGCAAACAGG
rnacentral:rRNA from 1 species